GCCAGGUUGGUCUAGUGGUCAGGGCUUCUGACUCUAGAUCAAUAGGUCCCGGUUCAAAUCCCGGUUGUGACC
rnacentral:tRNA from 1 species